AUGUCAAGAUGGAGCAGUCACAGAUCAUCCAGUGAGACAUGAAGGCUCUUCAGUUCCUUAGUGAAGACAGCGUAAUCAUGGAAUUUAUGGAAACAAGACAUCGGAAGGGUGAAGUUGAGGAAGGUGCCAAAGUAAUACUUCACCACAAAUGUCCAAGAGAUGACAGGCAGUGAUUUGAAGUAAAAGUUCUCAAGAUAGGAGAUUUCCUCUUCUUUCAAGAGCAUUGGAGAUGUUGUGAUGACUUUGAGAUGGGACAAAAAAAGUCAAAAGAAAGCAAAGUAAAAUGAAAAUGUAGCUGAGAGAAUAGAACAAAAUCAGGGCCAUUGUUGGAAACCCAGUCCAGGAAAUCUUGGAGUGCUGGAAGAGGAGAAAAUGUAUCAUGAACACUGGGAUUGGAAGUCUGAGGGCAUGGAAGUUCCUGGAAUAUAUCAAGAACGCCAUCCUCAACCGGGACAGGCUACUAUUCUAUGUAGAUGUGUUUGAUUUCCUGGACACCAUCACUGCCAUAUGAGGAUGAGGUGCUCAUCAGUAUACUGACCACGAAGGUGCAGAAAUAAACCUGAGAAAAUGAGAUUCUACAUGCCCAUUUGGGGAAAGAACUCAAGAAACUAAGUAGGAAGUUGAAACAAUUGAGUCCAAAGCGUAGGCAUGGGCUCAGGAAUGGUAGCCAGGGGCGAUUACGUUGCAAGAAUUUGCUGUUGGGCUUCCUGCCUUUCUUAUCUUGCAGUGAUGGACUUACCAGGGAUAUUAUAGACUGAAGAUUGAGUGAACAAGGACAUCAGUGU